UCAAAUCUUGCCUCAGGCACUUUCUAGUUUUUGACCCUGGGCAAGGAAUAUAGCUUCUUUCUGCCUCAGUUUCCCAACUGUAAGAUAGGUAGAGAAACUGAGGCCCAAGAAGAGGGAAAGCUACACCUGAGGCAGGCAGGUCUACCAUGAAACUUCAACCCCACUUCAAUACACAGGACAUCUCCUGCUUUUUCCCUGGGGAAAAUGCUUUAAUUUCUAUAGAAAUGGUAGCAUCUUUUGUCUGAGUGCAGUUGAGUGACAGAUGAUGUCUAUUUCUACCAGUUAUGGUCUUCUUGGUGCUGCUCUUGGGAAGUCUCCUUUGACCACUUUAACCCCCCAAACCCUGUUCCUUCCUCCAAACUCUGGCAGUACUUACUGUCUGUAGCACACAUGGAUGUGGAUUAUGAGUUCUUUUACUAUCAGACUCUCCAGGUAAAUUGGACACUCUCUGAGGGCAGGAACUUUGCUUCCAAAAACAAGCCAGUGGCCUCCUGUCAUCUCUAGGAUUAAAACCAAGCCUCUAUUGGACAGUCCUGGUCUUCAGUCUAUAGACUGUAAAAUUCAUGUUCAAAGCUCUCA
rnacentral:lncRNA from 1 species